rnacentral:rRNA from 1 species
CUGAAUAACUACGCUGAUCGCACGGUCUCGUACCGGCGACAUAUCCUUCAAGUGUCUGCCUUAUCAACUUUCGAUGGUAGUUUAUAUGACUACCAUGGUUGUAACGGGUAACGGAGAAUAAGGGUUCGACUCCGGAGAGGGAGCCUGAGAAACGGCUACCACAUCCAAGGAAGGCAGCAGGCGCGCAAAUUACCCACUCUCAGAACGAGGAGGUAGUGACGAAAAAUAACGAGACAGUUCUCUAUGAGGUCUGUCAUCGGAAUGGGUACAAUCUAAACCCUUUAACGAGGAUCUAUUGGAGGGCAAGUCUGGUGCCAGCAGCCGCGGUAAUUCCAGCUCCAAUAGCGUAUAUUAAAGUUGUUGCGGUUAAAAAG